CCUCGCGCUAUUGGAUGAGCCCAAGUCGGAUUAGCUUGUUGGUGGGGUAAUGGCCUACCAAGGCGACGAUCCGUAGCUGGUCUGAGAGGACGAUCAGCCACACUGGGACUGAGACACGGCCCAGACUCCUACGGGAGGCAGCAGUGGGGAAUAUUGGACAAUGGGCGCAAGCCUGAUCCAGCAAUGCCGCGUGUGUGAAGAAGGCCUGCGGGUUGUAAAGCACUUUCAGUAGAGAAGAAAAGCCUAGGGUUAAUACCCCUGAGUCUUGACGUAACCUACAGAAGAAGCACCGGCUAACUCCGUG
rnacentral:rRNA from 1 species